AUAUCACCUCAGGAAAAGGGUGCUGGUCUGUUGAAGAGAGCUGUUUUAUAGACCUGAAAGAAACAAAAAUCGAAGAUUCAGUGAUAGUAGGAGCUUCUCACAUCAUGGAUGGAUGGAAAACCACAGGGAAGACCAUCAGGCCACAGCUGGUGGUGAAGAUUGUUGGUGGGAAACAAAUUAAGUAUUUUGCUGACAGGACAGAAAGUCCUACAGAUCAUCUUGAGGUAACAAACUGCUCGGAGGACAGACGCAGUCCACCUAACAGAGUCAUGGACAGAGAUUUAAGCAGAAAAUCACCUUCUUAUGACCUGGAGCAUACAAGACCAGAUGAGCAAACAGAAAACCUGCUACAUGC